rnacentral:rRNA from 1 species
AGACGCUGGCGGCAGGCCUAACACAUGCAAGUCGAACGAAGUCUUCGGACUUAGUGGCGGACGGGUUAGUAACGCGUGGGAACGUGCCCUUUACUUCGGAAUAGUCCCGGGAAACUGGGUUUAAUACGGAAUACGCCCUUGGGGGGAAAGAUUUAUCGGUAAAGGAUCGGCCSGCGUUGGAUUAGGUAGUUGGUGGGGUAAUGGCCUACCAAGCCGACGAUCCAUAGCUGGUUUGAGAGGAUGAUCAGCAACACUGGGACUGAGACACGGCCCAGACUCCUACGGGAGGCAGCAGUGGGGAAUCUUAGACAAUGGGGGCAACCCUGAUCUAGCCAUGCCGCGUGAGUGAAGAAGGCCUUAGGGUCGUAAAGCUCUUUCGCCAGGGAUGAUAAUGACAGUACCUGGA